rnacentral:lncRNA from 1 species
AAGGGAGUUUAAUAAUUAAGGAAUCCUAAGUGAGUUGGUCUAUUUAUGGUUAGAUUUCUAUAGGUUAGAUACCUAGCUACCUUAGUAUUCUAGGUAUUAAAGAAUAAAGUUUCUAUGUAGUUAGUAUGAAAAGAAUGAAAGAAUAAAUUUUCUAUUAAUAUCUUAAAGAAUAAGAAAUUAUAAGAUUUCUAGUUGCUUACGCA